GCGUCCUUAGCUCAGCUGGGAGUAGCGUAAGACUGAAGAUCUUAAGGUCCCCGGUUCAAUCCCGGGAGGGCGCA